UACGGAGGGUGCAAGCGUUAUCCGGAUUCACUGGGUUUAAAGGGUGCGUAGGUGAGCAGGUAAGUCAGUGGUGAAAUCUCCGGGCUUAACCCGGAACUGCCGUUGAUACUAUUGUCUUGAAUAUAGUGGAGGUGAGCGGAAUAUGUCAUGUAGCGGUGAAAUGCUUAGAUAUGACAUAGAACACCAAUUGCGAAGGCAGCUUGCUACACUAUUAUUGACACUGAGGCACGGAAAGCGUGGGGAGCAAACGGG
rnacentral:rRNA from 1 species